ACCCCGCUGAAACUUAAGCAUAUCAAUAAGCGGAGGAAAAGAAACCAACAGGGAUUGCCCUAGUAACGGCGAGUGAAGCGGCAACAGCUCAAAUUUGAAAUCUGGCUCCUUUGGGGUCCGAGUUGUAAUUUGCAGAGGGUGCUUUGGCAUCGGCGGCGGUCUAAGUUCCUUGGAACAGGACAUCGCAGAGGGUGAGAAUCCCGUACGUGGGCGCCUGCCUUUGCCGUGUAAAGCCCCUUCGACGAGUCGAGUUGUUUGGGAAUGCAGCUCUAAAUGGGAGGUAAAUUUCUUCUAAAGCUAAAUACCGGCCAGAGACCGAUAGCGCACAAGUAGAGUGAUCGAAAGAUGAAAAGUACUUUGGAAAGAGAGUCAAAUAGCACGUGAAAUUGUUGAAAGGGAAGCGCUUGCAGCCAGACUUGCCCGCAGUUGCUCACCCAGGCUCCGGCCUGGGGCACUCUUCUGCGGGCAGGCCAGCAUCAGUUUGGGCGGUUGGAUAAAGGCCUCUGUCACGUAUCUCCCUUCGGGGUGACCUUAUAGGGGAGGCGCAAUGCAACCAGCCCGGACUGAGGUCCGCGCAUCUGCUAGGAUGCUGGCGUAAUGGCUGUAAGCGGCCCGUCUUGAAACACGGACCAAGGAGUCUAACAUCUAUGCGAGUGUUUGGGUGUCAAGCCCGGGCGCGUAAUGAAAGUGAACGGAGGUGGGAACCCUUUGGGUGCACCAUCGACCGAUCCUGAUGUCUUCGGAUGGAUUUGAGUAAGAGCAUAGCUGUUGGGACCCGAAAGAUGGUGAACUAUGCUUGAAUAGGGUGAAGCCAGAGGAAACUCUGGUGGAGGCUCGCAGCGGUUCUGACGUGCAAAUCGAUCGUCAAAUUUGGGCAUAGGGGCGAAAGACUAAUC
rnacentral:rRNA from 1 species